rnacentral:rRNA from 1 species
UUACCUCAGUAACGGCGAGUGAAGCGGUAACAGCUCAAAUUUGAAAUCUGGCCUCACGGUCCGAGUUGUAAUUUGCAGAGGAUGCUUCGGGCGUGGUCCGGUCUAAGUUCCUUGGAACAGGACGUCAUAGAGGGUGAGAAUCCCGUAUGUGACCGGGUGCCGCUGUCCAUGUGAAGCUCCUUCGACGAGUCGAGUUGUUUGGGAAUGCAGCUCAAAAUGGGUGGUAAAUUUCAUCUAAAGCUAAAUAUUGGCCAGAGACCGAUAGCGCACAAGUAGAGUGAUCGAAAGAUGAAAAGCACUUUGGAAAGAGAGUUAAACAGUACGUGAAAUUGUUGAAAGGGAAGCGCUUGCAACCAGACUUGCGCGCGGUUGAUCAUCCGGUCUUCUGACCGGUGCACUCGAUCGCGCUCAGGCCAGCAUCGGUUUCGGUGGUUGGAUAAAGGCCUUGGGAAUGUAGCUUCUUUCGGGGAGUGUUAUAGCCCUCGGUGCAAUGCAGCCUACCGGGACCGAGGACCGCGCUUCGGCUAGGAUGCUGGCGUAAUGGUUGUAAGCGGCCCG